rnacentral:rRNA from 1 species
UCAGGAUGAACGCUGGCGGCGUGCUAACACAUGCAAGUUGCGCGGUGAUCUCAAGAAGUUUCGGACGGAAGGGAGAGCAGCAGCGGACGGGUGAGUAAAGCACAAGGACUUGUCCCGAAGAGGGGGACAACUGUGGGAAACCACAGCUAAUACCCCAUAAGCCGAGAGGUGAAAGCAGCGAUGCGCUUUAGGAGAGACUUGUGUCCUAUCAGGUAGUUGGUGAGGUAACGGCUCACCAAGCCGAAGACGGGUAGCCGGACUGAGAGGUUGUACGGCCACAUUGGAACUGAGAGACGGUCCAGACUCCUACGGGAGGCAGCAGUGGGGAAUAUUGGGCAAUGGGGGGCCAACCCUGACCCAGCGACGCCGCGUGAGGGAAGACAGCCUUCGGGUUGUAAACCUCUGUUGCAGGGGAAGAAGAAAGUGACGGUACCCUGCGAGGAAGCUCCGGCAAACUACGUGCCAGCCGCCGC